AGUUAAUGAACUUGAUAAAGUGUAUAUUUUGAAUAUAUAUUAUAGAGAUAAAAAUUUUCUAUUAACUU
rnacentral:tRNA from 1 species